rnacentral:lncRNA from 1 species
CUCAAAUGAGUGUAUUCCAGAGCUGGCUUUUAUACAUAGUUUGCUUACAUUAGCCAUGGUAUAUGCCAUUCAUUACAGUACAGACUAUAAGAUUUAUUACUUCCUUAUAUUACGUUAUUCUGACAAUGGAAAGAUAAGCUUUUGCAUACGUCUGGAAAAGAAUAUCCUUAAAAUCGGAAUGGGCAAGACAUCCUGAAAUUUAGCAUUGUCUUACAUCCUAUAGAAGAAAUACCUUAGUCUGUCACAGUCAGCAUAUUAUGUCGUUUAAGUAUUCAAUAUUCCUUCAGUCAGCAAUAAUCAUGUUAUAAACCUUAUAAAAGCAUAAAAUACAUAUAAACAAGUUAACUAUUUAAUAUUCUUACAUUCCCCUCUUUGAGCAAUAAAACAAUUGCUCAUCUUAUCGAUAAAAUCUUACCAGGACAGAGAAACCUCCACAUGGUAUUUUCAGGGGUGCUAGUCACUCCCUGCGGGACUUUCAUUAAUUUCUUCACCUCGAUUCCCAUGUGGUAAUUCCUAAGGCCCAGUUUAAAGAUGGGUUGAUACUCUACAGUGGCAGAGAGGAGAAUUUCUAAUUGUUUCUGUUCUGCAUUAUGGAUUAAUUUCUGUACUCUCUUCCUCAAUGUACAAGUAAGGUGACAGUUAUAUAAAAUCAUACACAAUAAAAUCAGGACUAUAAUAACAAAAUGAUAGAAGAAUGAUUUCAUUAUCUGAGAUCCAGUAGGGGACCAACCAGUAAAGCAUUGUACCAAUCAUGGGCUAAAUCAUUCUGAAUUUGUGAACUCACCUUAAGGAGUUCUCCUUUUAGGAUAUGUGUGGCUACCUGUGUGUGUUAUCUUUGGGAAAAAUAUAGUCCCCUGUGUAUGUGGGUGCCCACCAGGUUAAAUUCUUGGCAAAAAGAUCAUAAACUGGUACUGGUAAUGUGUUAAAUUGACAAGCUAAUUUAACAUCCUUUGAUGAUGUAUGAUAUAAUGUAAAAUAGCAUGAGCAUGAAAAAUGUGAAACAUUACCAGUUAACCAUCCAUUGCAUUUACUGGAUUGGGGUUUUAGAAGUAACCAUUCAUUAUCUGUGAGGUUACGCUUUCCUCUAAUCUUCUCUAGUUUGGGAAUCAUUAGUGUGUUUUCUAAUGCCAAUCCUUGUUGUUGUAUCCAUAAAUACCUGAUGGCACAAGUACUCCAGUUACUUAGACCUGUAGUGAAUUUCAUAGUUGCAACAGUUAAAUUAUCUAAAUAAUUAUACAUUGAUUUAUCUAAAUCCAAUCCUAUAACCUGUGAUUUAACAACAAUUGGAGCCCAGUUUGCAGUAGCAUGAAAACCAGUCCCUAUAUGCAUGCUGGCUGUGUUUAACUUAUUCUUGAGGGUCUCCAUAUCUAUAACUAUUUAGUAUACCCAUAGUGGUUCCAGCACCUCCUAACAGUGUGUCAUACCAUUCCCUUUUCUGCCUUUGUUUGUUGUAUUACAUAAUGUUACAACAAGAGUAGUGACUUUUAAUGACACAUGUACAGCUUGUAAGAAGGCAGUUGUAUUAACACAUGUGGACGGAAUAGGUGUGUGUGUGUCGUGUUUGACUUUUGGUUCUAUGAUAGUGGAUGAAGGACAGUAAUAAGGUGUAAAAAUAUAAGGUAGUGUAUAGUUCUCAAUUGUAGUGUCGUUCAUAAUGACUAACAUUUGUCCCCUUUUCCAAUUAAUGAUACCAGUUAUAUAAUCAUUAUUAAAAGUAAUAAGGCCUGUCUGUUUACAUUGAUAUGCAACCUUAACUGUGCACAUUUCUGCGUUAUAAGAUCUAACAAUUUUCUGUGAACCUUUAAACAAACAUAAUGCAUCGGUUUCAUUAGCUGUAGACACAUUUCAUAUGGGUAACUGGUACUUAUAAGGGUUACUAUUUGUCCAAUUCAUCCAAAUGCGUUCAGUGAAUGAAUGAUUGCAUAUUGC